rnacentral:rRNA from 1 species
UCCUACGGGGGGCAGCAGUGAGGAAUAUUGGUCAAUGGGCGCGAGCCUGAACCAGCCAAGUAGCGUGAAGGAUGACUGCCCUACGGGUUGUAAACUUCUUUUAUAAAGGAAUAAAGUGAGGCACGUGUGCCUUUUUGUAUGUACUUUAUGAAUAAGGAUCGGCUAACUCCGUGCCAGCAGCCGCGGUAAUACGGAGGAUCCGAGCGUUAUCCGGAUUUAUUGGGUUUAAAGGGGGCGUAGCUGGGUUGUUAAGUCAGUUGUGA